UGAGUACGAGAUGCUACGGCAUCGAAGCAGUCUAUGUCAUACUUCCAAGAAAAGCUUGCAAUGUCAUAAACAAAUAAUGCCUGUACCAUAACCGACACUGGUGGGUAGGUAGAGUAUACUAAGGGGCGCGAGAUAACUCUCUCUAAGGAACUCGGCAAAAUGACUCCGUAACUUCGGGAGAAGGAGUGCCUUAUUUUUAUAAGGUUGCAAUAACAAGAUCCAAGCAACUGUUUACCAAAAACACAGGUCUCCGCUAAGUCGUAAGACGAUGUAUGGGGGCUGACGCCUGCCCAGUGCCAGAAGGUUAAAGAAGUUGGUUAGCAUUAGCGAAGCUGAUAACUGAAGCCCUGGUGAACGGCGGCCGUAACAAUAACGGUCCUAAGGUAGCGAAAUUCCUUGUCGGGUAAGUUCCGACCCGCACGAAAGGCGUAAUGAUUUGGAUACUGUCUCGGAGAGGGGCUCGGUGAAAUAGACUUGUCUGUGAAGAUGCGGACUACCUGCACCUGGACAGAAAGACCCUAUGAAGCUUUACUGUAACUUGAGAUUGAAAUUGGACUUUAUCUGCGCAGUAUAGGUGGGAGACGUUGAAAAUAUUCUUGCGGGAAUAUUGGAGUCAUCAGUGAGAUACCACUCUUAUAAUGUUAGAUUUCUAACUUUGUAUCAUUAUCUGGUCAAAGAACAGUUUCAGGCGGGCAGUUUGACUGGGGCGGUCGCCUCCCAAACGGUAACGGAGGCGCACAAAGGUUUCCUCUGAACGUGUAGAAAUCGUAUCUAGAGUGUAAAGGCAUAAGGAAGCUUGACUGUGAGACCUACAAGUCGAGCAGGGACGAAAGUCGGUCUUAGUGAUCUGACGGUGCUGAGUGGAAAGGCCGUCACUCAACGGAUAAAAGUUACUCUAGGAUAACAGGCUGAUCUCCCCCAAGAGUUCACAUCGACGGGGAGGUUUGGCACCUCGAUGUCGGCUCAUCGCAUCCUGGGGCGGUAGUACGUCCCAAGGGUUGGGCUGUUCGCCCAUGAAAGCGGUACGCGAGCUGGGUUCAGAACGUCGUGAGACAGUUCGGUCCAUAUCCGGUGUAGGCGUUAGAAUAUUGAGAGGAGCCUUCUUUAGUACGAGAGGACCGAGAGGGACAUACCUCUGGUGUACCAGUUAUCGUGCCAACGGUAAACGCUGGGUAGCCAUGUAUGGAGAGGAUAACCGCUGAAAGCAUCUAAGUGGGAAGCCCACCUCAAGAUAAGUAUUCUCA
rnacentral:rRNA from 1 species